rnacentral:rRNA from 1 species
UAGGGAAUCUUCGGCAAUGGACGGAAGUCUGACCGAGCAACGCCGCGUGAGUGAAGAAGGUUUUCGGAUCGUAAAGCUCUGUUGUUAGAGAAGAACGUUGGUAGGAGUGGAAAAUCUACCAAGUGACGGUAACUAACCAGAAAGGGACGGCUAACUACGUGCCAGCAGCCGCGGUAAUACGUAGGUCCCGAGCGUUGUCCGGAUUUAUUGGGCGUAAAGCGAGCGCAGGCGGUUCUUUAAGUCUGAAGUUAAAGGCAGUGGCUUAACCAUUGUACGCUUUGGAAACGGGAGGACUUGAGUGCAGAAGGGGAGAGUGGAAUUGCAUGUGUAGCGGUGAAAUGCGUAGAUAUAUGGAGGAACACCGGUGGCGAAAGCGGCUCUCUGGUCUGUAACUGACGCUGAGGCUCGAAAGCGUGGGGAGCAAACAGG